rnacentral:rRNA from 1 species
GUGGAUUAGAUACCCGGGUAGUCCUAGCCGUAAACGGUGAGCACUAGGUGUUGGAGGCAUCGACCCCUCCAGUGCCGCAGCUAACGCAUUAAGUGCUCCGCCUGGGGAGUACGGCCGCAAGGUUGAAACUCAAAGGAAUUGACGGGGGCCCGCACAAGCGGUGGAGCAUGUGGUUUAAUUCGACGCAACGCGAAGAACCUUACCCAGACUUGACAUGCAUUGGACCGGUGUGGAAACACACCUUCCCUUCGGGGCCGGUGCACAGGUGCUGCACGUCCGUCGUCAGCU